AGACAUAAAAAUACAGAACUUUGGGCAAUUCAUUUAAACUACAAUACAGAAACAUAUUUCUGCACCCCUCAGAAGCAGUGUAAAGGCUUGGGAGAGUCAGGAGUAAUGGAGGAGCUGAGAGAAAAGGA